UACGAAGGGAGCUAGCGUUGUUCGGAAUUACUGGGCGUAAAGGGCGCGUAGGCGGCUUCGAUAGUUGGGCGUGAAAUGCCUGGGCUCAACCCAGGAAUGGCGUUCAAUACUGUGAGGCUUGAGUGUGGGAGAGGAUAGUGGAAUUCCCAGUGUAGAGGUGAAAUUCGUAGAUAUUGGGAAGAACACCAGCGGCGAAGGCGGCUAUCUGGACCACAACUGACGCUGAGGCGCGAAAGCGUGGGGAGCAAACAGG
rnacentral:rRNA from 1 species